UUGGCUGCCCUGGUCCCUCCUGAGCGCUCAUUGGUGGAGCUUGGAUCCUGCUGCUGGGGGCAGCUGGGGGCAGCACCCAUGGGUGGCGAAUGAGGCGGGGAGCCUGGGGGGCAGGGGGGGGUCCCGUGGGGCAGAGAGGGAGCCUGCCCCUGCCUCGCCCCAUGGACAUGGACUGGGACCGGGGUGAGACCAGGCAGGGGGGUGGGACACCCAUGGGUGCUGGUGGGACCCCUGUAGGGUGAUGGGGGGACACCCAUGGGUGCUGGUGGGACACCCAUGGGUGCUGGUGGGACCCUGUAGGGUGAUGGGGGGACACCCAUGGGGUGCUGGGGGGACACCUGUGGGGUGAUGGAUGGACACCCAUGGAUGCUAGUGGGACACCCAUGGGUGCUAAUGGGACCCCCAUGGGAGCUGGUGGGACCUCUAUGGGAGCUGGUGAGACAACUGUGGGUGCUGGUGGGACACCUGUAGGGUGAUGGAGGGAUCCCCGUGGGAGCUGGUGGGAUCCCCGUGGGUGCUGGUGGGACCCCCGUGGGAGCUACCAGACGUGUGCUGACCUAGCUGCCGGUCCUCUGGCACCAUAGGGGCUUCCUGGGGCUCUCGGUGCUCUGGUUAAGAACCCCCGGGGGGCUCAGCUGCUGCCCUCCGCCUCCAGAGAGGCCCCCAAAGCCGAAAUCACUCCGGCUCAUCCCUGUAGCCCGGCGCUGAUCCCCCCCAUGAGGCUCCCUUGGGACCCCACAGGGUCUGGUGCGCUCCCCUCGCCUCUGGGCACCUGUCCUGACCUCGCUGUGCAGAGCCCAGCCCGGGAAGCUCCCCAGCUCCCCUGCAGCACCGGGGCUCACCGCCGGUGCCUUUCGCCUUCCGUCCCGGUGAACCCCACCGCUCGUUGGCUCCAGCCCUUUUGGCAGGCAACCACCUUCUGUGUACUUAAAAAAUGUUUGAAUGUUAGUUCGAAUGUAAGUUUUCAUGCCUUUAGCAAGUCGUUCCUCAAAAAAAAAAAAAAAAAAAUGUUUUGGCUCGCCUUCCUGUGGUUUCGCGUUUCACUUGCCCCCAUUUCUGCUCCGUGCUGCUCGCCGUGUUUGGACACGGUUAUAACUUAAUCAAAGAUAUCGCUUUACUUCCAGCAGGCUCCUGCGCUUGCUUUUAAAAAACAUUUGCUAUAAUACUGCUAGAAUCUCUUUGGACAAACAGUGUACAUUUACUGAGUGCCUCCAGUACCACCUCUGCGUAAUUCCGUGCUAUCAGCAGACAUUUUGCUCUUUUGGUGGCCUCUUUAAUU
rnacentral:lncRNA from 1 species